rnacentral:lncRNA from 1 species
GAUUGAUUGUGAAUGUAUGGAUGUAUAAUUAAUAGCCUGUUGUCAUAUUAGUUUUUGAUUAGUUUGUUGCAAGUUUGUAACUCUAUUAUUUUGAAACUGCAGGUUUAAUUCGAUGGAGUCAAAAGAGGAAGCACAUAGUGAUGAUGGAUCUUACGAGUUGGUGAAAGAAGAUCCAAACAUGAUACGAAGAAAGACACUGUGUCAUCGUCAAUAAGGUGGUGCCAUGAUAUUGGUCGUGAGCAUGCUGCAAAUAAUCCUCGACUAAGUAAAAACCGUUUUCCAGGUCAUGAUGAGAUUGGGCAAAACAACGUUACUCUUGUUAUACGCGAUAAAACAAGAGUGAAAAUGAUGGAAGUGAGUAGGAAAUCUGGGCAUGCUACACAAGCAAAUGGUGAAGGAUAGUUAGU